GAACUCUCUGGUUUAGUUGGCACAGGGUCAAUCAACCUAGAGUUCAGCGUUAACAACUGAUGGUAGUGUACACCCAAGUGUAUCUUACCUAUUCACCUAAACCCCUAUGGCAUACCAAUCACAAAGGAAACAAUUGAGCAUGGCACAGCAAACAAACAAUAAUUGGCCGACAGACAGCUCCCAGAUUGGACAGGGGAUGGACGAUGGUGGAGGAACAGCCAAUGGUGUGUCACCUACAGAGAACGAGAGGGAUAACAGAAGGCCAACAACCAAACAGUUAGUGACAUGGAAUACACUACAGCCCCAAGGUGGCCCACGUGAUCAAUGGAUCUGGGGCCACCCAGAGCUGAAGACGAGC
ensembl:lncRNA